AACUCCCAGGGUUAUUGGCAGGGAGUUUGGCAUGGAGAAGGUCAGUGACAGCUCUAAGAUCCAUGAGGAGAGUUUGGUAACUGAGGCUGGAGCUCUUCCAACCCGUGAAUGUGUGCGAUGGCCAAGAAUUCCGCCAUGGGCCGGGGCCGGGGGAGGAGCUAUCCUGAGGACAGAGUGCUUUCUUAAUUUCCGAAAGAGCCCAAGGAUUCAAGUCCCAACUCAGACGGCUGCCUCAAGCAUUUGAUGGUUCGGUGUUUGGGCCAACAACUGGAUAAAAAUGAAAGCUUGGAUAGAGAACUCUCGGGAAAAGGGAACUGGAAAUAAGAAUCUCCAACAGAUGGCCGGUGGCUCGUGAUUGAGAGACACCAAGUGACAUGAGCUGCCAGCGACUGGGUCGAUCUGAGAGUCAGCAGUCCAGGCACUUUGAGGGCAAGAAGACAUCGGGCCCGCCCUCUUCAGCCCGCGAAAUUCCAUCACGGGUUUCCUGUUUUUCAGGAGGAAGCUGUCCCAGUUACCACCCAAACCCUUCCUCGGGCUCAAUUUGAGGAGAAAGAUCUCAGAAAAUUACUUUGCUGGUGAGUUGAAGAGCCACUUCCUAAUUUGGGACCUAGAGACAUGUGGCCUCAGUCCCGUCACAUUCGGAACGGAGCAAUAUCCAGGACUCUGCGUUCACUGGUGCUGGUCAGUGCCCUUUGGAAUCCUUGAUCCCAAUCCCAGGGUGGCUCCACAACCACUCCGUGGAGGAGGUUGGGCGGGGGAAGGUCAGCCAUUUGUCCAAAGACAUAUUACACCGCAUGUUUGAGGCAUGAAGCAAUGUCUCUCUGUAACCCCGAAGCACUCUCCGGCAAGGGUCAGUUUCCCUGAAGAAGUGGAGACUCAUCACUUUCACCACCAAUUUGGAUUUAUUACCGAAUAUUCUAUAAUGCACUUCCCAUGCAUCCGGUCCCUACCUUCUGGGCACUUGCAGUCUAGAGCAGGCAACCCUGAAAGGGAUAAAUAAAAUUUAUCAUUCAAUCGA